GGGGGGGGGGGGGGGUGGGCCGGGCGGGGGCGGGUCGGGCGGCAGCGGAGUAAGAGCUGGCGCUUACGGGGCCCGCGGGGCGGACGGGCGAGGAAUACAUCCGCAUCGACUUUCGCGUGGGCGAUAACGGCGGGCAACUGACGCUAAUACCGCAUAGCACCUCCGGCUGAAACCAAGCGCUCUCCCGGCCUCGCGCGACUCACUGCUCAGAUGUCGGAGUAGCUAGUUGGCGGGGUAAAGGCCCACCAAGGCGACGAUCCGUAGCUGGUCUGAGAGGAUGAUCAGCCACACUGGAACUGAGACACGGUCCAGACUCCUACGGGAGGCAGCAGUGGGGAAUAUUGGACAAUGGGCGCAAGCCUGAUCCAGCCAUACCGCGUGGGUGAAGAAGGCCUUCGGGUUGUAAAGCCCUUUUGUUGGGAAAGAAAAGCAGCAGGUUAAUACCCCGCUGUUCUGACGGUACCCAAAGAAUAAGCACCGGCUAACUUCGUG
rnacentral:rRNA from 1 species